AUGGGGCUGUUUUCGGUAAAAAAGCAGCGCUCUCCUGGUUCUGACUGCAGCGUCCACGCACACAGUUUAACCCUUGGGUCAUCGUGUUUGUAUUUCGCUUAUUGGACUGCUAAUAGAUUUUCUUCCUUCGCGCGAGACACCGUGAAGGAUGUGCUGAGGCUCCCUAUUACUCCGGCGGGCGGGCGGGCGGGCGGCCGGUCCACCUGUAGGAGGGAGGACGCGGGAAGAGGCGCCCGGCUCCUACCUUUUGACAACAGCCCAGCUGUAGACGAGCAGUCCCAACCCUCCAGUGGCAGUUUUAAUUAUCGGCCCGCCGAUACCAUCAGCUGCUUGGAGAAGACCUUGGAGACAUCAGCAGAGAACAGCCUGACGGGGAGGAAGGAGCAGCGGAGGGAGGACUCCAGCCCACUGAAGCAAGUAGUGCGCAGUCCAAUGAUGGCACCAGAGGACGGGAGGGACGGCUCCUCAAGGGAACCAGCAGCAACGUGGGAGGUGGUGAUUCUUGAAGGGAUACCACCUAAAGCAUGUGAGGUGACCAGGCUGGGCAUGUUUCCUGGGCACACGCAUGACCCUCCGUUCAUGUUCCCUGGCUAUACAUGUUCUGGUGUCCACCUGUGGGAGAGGCGGUGGGGAAGGGAAGACCUAUCUUGCAAUUACAUUGUUAUGCUGCCUAAUUAAAUAGCAGCACGAAUGUGCUCUCUGGUUGGCUGGCAGAAGAACCACAUCAUCUUCUGGGUGGCAUUUAUAUAGCACCUUAAGGUUUACAAAUUACUUUACAUAGAUUAUCUCCUUUGAGAUCCCAGGAAUCCAGGAAUAUUAUUAUCCUCUCUUUAGAUGAAGAAAUUGAGUUUGAGAAACUGACUCACCCAGAGCCCAUAGUUAAAUAAGUGUCCGAGGCAGGAUUUGAACCUGGGUCUUCCUGAGUCCAGGUCCAAUGCUCUAUGUUCCAGGUCUAGCACUGUCACCAUGAGUGGGUGUUCAUGACCCACAGUUUUGAGUGGAUACUAAUGCACAGUGUACCUCAAAGCUAUGGUUGCUUUCAGAUGGUACCAUGGUGGAAGGGGUCUGGGGGAAUCACAUGCUUGUCCCUCUAAAGGUGAUAUCUCUAUAAAAGAGAUUUUAACUGAGACUCAAAAAAAGCCAGGAAACAGAGAUAAUAAAUAUUAAUUAAAACUAAAAAUAAUACUAAAU
rnacentral:lncRNA from 1 species